rnacentral:rRNA from 1 species
GACGAACCGUGCAAACGUUAUUCGGAAUCACUGGGCUUAAAGGGCGCGUAGGUGGCCCGGUCAGUUCGUGGUGAAAGCGCGGGGCUCAACCCUGCGUCGGCCAUGAAUACUGCCGCGGCUGGAGCACUGUAGAGGCAGGCGGAAUUCCGGGUGUAGCGGUGGAAUGCGUAGAGAUCCGGAAGAACACCGGUGGCGAAGGCGGCCUGCUGGGCAGUUGCUGACACUGAGGCGCGACAGCGUGGGGAGCAAACAGG